UACGUAGGGGGCAAGCGUUGUCCGGAAUCAUUGGGCGUAAAGCGCGUGUAGGCGGCCCGAUAAGUCCGCUGUGAAAGUCCAGGGCUCAACCCUGGAAUGCCGGUGGAUACUGUCGGGCUCGAGUCCGGAAGAGGCGAGUGGAAUUCCUGGUGUAGCGGUGAAAUGCGCAGAUAUCAGGUGGAACACCAAUGGCGAAGGCAGCUCGCUGGGACGGCACUGACGCUGAGGCGCGAAAGCGUGGGGAGCAAACAGG
rnacentral:rRNA from 1 species